rnacentral:lncRNA from 1 species
AAAAAUUGUUGCAGUGUCUAUUUGGGAAAGUAAAAGUGUGAAACUACUACAACUAAUUUUUCAAAAGGACAGAGACUGAUUUUCACCGGCUCCUUUCUAGCAAGCCUGCUUAUCAGCAGGGUCCAGCAGGCAUCAGCAUGUUCACAUUUUGCAAUGCUGUGGCAAAAUAAUCAAAUUAUUUAGAAAAUAACAGCACCAUACUGAAAUAAAAUAAAAAAUAAGAUAUGAAUUAAAUAAUAAAAAAAAAAGAAUAAAAUUUUGCAUUAAAAAAAAAUCAAAGUUGCAAUUUAGUCUGCUAUGAAUUUCUUACAUCAUGAAAUGUGAAAAUGAGAUGUUCUGACUAGCUACCGUUAAAAGAUUCGCUCCUCUAUACAGAAGAUUGAUUUUUAUAGUCGUAACAGAGGAAAAAAGCACAUCCUUUGUAGACUUCCGGAUUCAUCCUGCUCAGCAAAAUGGUAAAUUCGACACAAAACAUUUUAUUCUUCUGUCUCUUACAGUCAUGGCUUCCUUCUUCCCCCGGAGAGCAAUGAGUCUGUUUCCCUUUUUCAAUAACAGCUUUAUUACAACAUGUUAAAGGGAAACAAGAAGAUGAACAGACCAGGCCUGGCUGUGCAGCGAUCAUUCUUCUGAGGAGCCUGUGUGAGGAGAUGCUGGUCUGGGAGUCAAUCUGAGGAAAAGCAGAAGAUAUUUGCUUUAUAUCCGAAGUAUUAUUCAAGGGAGUUCACGCCAGAAGACAAGAGAAAUGUUGGUACAUGAUGAAUAUAAAGCUCUAAGACUUGGUGCUGAAGGAUACUUCUCUCAGAAGUGUGCAUUUAUUGUUUGAUACCUUUGGUGAUACGUGCUGCUUCAUCUACCAUCUCUGCCAUGGGGUCACCCUCAGCCACUGCUGCUGGGGAGCAAGAGCCAGGCCAUGGGAGCUGGGCAAACUGCCAGACAGGAGGAUGGCUGGCGGAGAGGGCGCAGGAGGGGCAUCAGCCAGCCCUGUGUUUCAGGCUGUACCGGAUGGCAGUACUUCUUUGUUUUUGUAAUGUAUGUCUCCUUUACUGAGAAAGAAGAUGGAAGAUUGGCUUUGACAUCGUGUUGCUGCACUGUAAAUUUUACUAUUAGAGUAAAGUGCAAAGGUAUCCUAAAUCCAUGUGAUGGCUCACACCAGACCUCUGUCAGGAGCUCUUUGAUUAGCCCAGUGCACAACACUAUCUGUUACACACGGAUACCGGCAAUAUUACAAGGUGGACUCCAGGGAUAAGAGACAGCCAACCCCGCACACCUCCCACGCCUGAGUCAUACCCGGGGUAACGCCAGGUCCUGCUCAUACCUGCUGUCGGCAGAAAUGAAACAGUACGAGCUGUUGUGUUUCAGAGCCUUUUUUAAUUGAUUCUCCAGAAUGCUUGAUCUUACCUGCUGAUAUCCUCGUGUUAUUAUUCAGAGGCACGGUCUAUCUGCAUAGCAAUGGACAAAAUGCCUGUGAAAAUAUUGCUGUUCAUUCGGUCGAUGUCGGAACUGGAGUAGGCACCAGCUACACUCUGCAAUGCUUGUCCUGGAAUAUCAAUAAAUAAAUCAUAAAAGCCA